UACGAAGGGUGCAAACGUUACUCGGAAUUACUGGGCGUAAAGCGUGCGUAGGUGGUUUUUUAAGUCCGUUGUGAAAGCCCUGGGCUCAACCUGGGAAUGGCAGUGGAUACUGGAAAGCUAGAGUGCGGUAGAGGGUAGUGGAAUUCCCGGUGUAGCAGUGAAAUGCGUAGAGAUCGGGAGGAACACCAGUGGCGAAGGCGGCUACCUGGACCAGCACUGACACUGAGGCACGAAAGCGUGGGGAGCAAACAGG
rnacentral:rRNA from 1 species